CACUGCCAGGGGCUUCUACAAGUUCCAGAGCUUCCGCCAAGUUUACGAGUUCUAGAUGUCCACAGUUCCACAUGCUUGGAAACUUUAUCAAGUCCAUCAAGUCAACUUGGUUUUUCUCUGUUCAAAUGCUUCAAAUCAAUGAUUGAGGAAUUUGAAUGCGGCUCCUAUUGGAACAAAGCAAUCAGAGUUGUUAUUUCUGGAAAUAAUGGAAUUCCAGAGUGGAUAAGCCAGCAAAAAAAAGGAUCUCAAAUAACAAUAGAGCUUCCUAUGGAUUGGUACA